CAGUCUGUUCUGCCUCCGCCUACUCAUCUCCACAGAGCCUUUAAAACAAACAGCGGCCACGUUGACAGCACAACAGGUUCCUCACUCCCAUACACUCACACACACUAAUUCCUCACUGGACUGCGUAACAGGACAGGAACUGUGGAAGAAGACAACAGUCACCUGACAGCCGGCAGAUACAGCGACGUGCACUCUGUUGAAGACAAGACACUACUCUACAAGUCUACCACUGCUGCAGUAGCCAGAAUCAGACCACAGUUUUGGCCGAAGAGGACCUGACAGUCUCCGUAGUGUUCAGGGUGGAGGACCUUAUCCCCUCCCCCCAACCAGCCAACUGUGCUGUGUUUGCUCAUCCAUCAGCAGGGCAGGUGCUUCUGGAGCUGUUCUUUUGCCACUCGUCACAUCCAGAGUGAAGCUGCUCGGCCCGCUGCGUGAUCCUGCGCACUCUUCCUCCGCGAGUCCCUCGUGCGAUCCCUCGUGCGGAGGCCAUGGUGCUGUGCGAGGACCUGGACUGCAGCGUGUGCUUCCAGCGCUACUCCCGAAGCAAGCACAUCCCCCGUGUGCUGUACUGCAACCACACGUUUUGCGCUCCCUGCCUCGAGAAGAUAGCACUGCAGCAGAAUGGCAUGCUGACUGUCCGCUGCCCGCUGUGCCGGCAGGUCUCCUGUGUGCGCCGGGGCGUUGCCCUGCAGGAGGCGCUGUGGAUCGACAGCAGCGUGUGGGGCCGUAUAGCUGAGAGCCAAGUGACAGAAGAAGAGAGCACAGCCAUUUUGCAGGCCUUGGCUCCAGCGGAAGAGGAAUGCGGGCUGAGGGCAACCUCUAAGCACACCCGGCCCAAACUCCAACUCCCAUCAUUUCUGAAGAAACUGAGUUUCACCAGACAGCCCGAGGAGAGGAUUGUUCCUGCUGGCAAUGUGUGAGUGAUCCUUUCAGAUUGCCCUAGCUGAUAUUACCUCAUAUCAUGAACGCGAGGAUAAAUAUUUAUUUUAGCAGUGGCUAUUUCAAACCCCUCAUGUACGUCACAUGCAGGAUUCCACCUAAUGUGCAAAAACAUCUAUUGCAAUCAUGUUUUGACUCACGCUUGCAUUCCUCCGUGACCACACGGGGCAUUAGGCGCUAUUAUUUUGAUGCUCUUUUUGAAAACCUUUGGGAUCUCCACCUCCUUGUUUAUUAAACCACACGGCAAGCCUCAUAUCAGCUUUGAUUGACACGUCAGUUGCAGCUGGUUGCAUUGUAACGGCAACGCGCUUUUGUGUUGCUGCAGUUAAGCUCAAAGGAGGGAGCAGAUGCGUGAAGGACACGGAGCACAAAGGGAUAACGGACAAAACCACCCCAACCAGAUUUGCUCGGCGCAUAAAAUCGUGGCGAAGACUUUAGAGGGAAGAAACGGUGUAAACACUGUCAUCCAAACCGGUCUCGUCCAUUCUGUAGAAUAAGCGUCGUGUCUCUGCCAUUGUCAUUUAAAAUGGGCCGCCACGCGGGGCGGCCCGCCGUCUCGCCCUGACCACGGGCUACAAGGACUGCGCGUCACGCGCCAACAACCCCGAGCCGGCGCGCGGUCGUUUCGUCUGCAGGGAUCUCCUCAUUGUCGGAUCCAGGCAUAACUCUCUCACAGCAGCUGCAGCAGGAACAAAUUCAGCUGUUCCCGGGAGGGAGGGAGAGAGAACCGUAUGGUCUCUUGAGAAAGACCUCCCGCUGCUUGUUACUCUCCAACCUCUCCGUACAAACCUUUUAACACUAAACUUUGCUAUUUAGGUUAUUUAUUGUGAAUUAAAGAUUUGUUGAAU